rnacentral:misc_RNA from 1 species
AAAUAACAAAUUAUCACAAUCGUUGGUUGUGGAAUUGGGCCCUUAUUUCGAACAGACUUAUGGCCUUAAAUUUACGCCAUGCGCUUAAUUCGAACCAAACGGAGCAAUUAAACAUUCUCGUUAGACGGAUUACUCGCAAGCAUUACGAUUUUUUGGACGACGAAAAGCACUCUCGCGAGCGCGAAGCCCAAGAUCGUAAAUUUAAUUGAC